UCAGACACCUAUCAAAGCGGUCCCUGUUCUUUUGUAGAAGUCACGGUCAAAAGAAUGGCAAAAACAUAACUUUCACCGACGGUGGCAGUGCAGUUCGGCAAUAACUGAUUCAGGGGAAAGAUACCU
ensembl:snoRNA